CUGCUGCCUCCCGUAGGAGUUUGGGCCGUGUCUCAGUCCCAAUGUGGCCGUCCACCCUCUCAGGCCGGCUACUGAUCGUCGCUUUGGUAGGCCGUUACCCUGCCAACUGGCUAAUCAGACGCGGGUCCAUCCCAUACCACCGGAGUUUUUCACACAGGAGCAUGCGCUCCCGUGCGCUUAUGCGGUAUUAGCACCUGUUUCCAGGUGGUAUCCCCCGGUAUGGGGCAGGUUACCCACGCGUUACUCACCCGUCCGCCACUAAGA
rnacentral:rRNA from 1 species